rnacentral:lncRNA from 1 species
UAGUUGUCCUGGAAUGUUGAGCUAUUACUUACUUGUGUCCUUGGCUCGAGCUAUUUUAUACAUAUGUUGGAAAAAUAAAUCUCUAUACAUUACUUCAACUGGGAUUGUACUCAAUUGUGUUGAGCUAUUAUCAUCAAAAGAGGAUUACGUACAAAUACAAGGUCAACGGGAAAUUGAAAGUAGCAUAUUAGCAUUCCAACAUUUCUAACUAACAAAUUCUACCUACAACAGGGUCAUGUAGAGGUGCUUUUCAAGUGCUGAAGAAAACAUAGAGGUUAGUGCACAGCAGCUUCACAAAGAAAAUCACCCUUUAAACUGACUAAUGCAUGAAAUUCCCUUUCAACCUCUACCCACAACAUCUUUCUCAAAUCUUCAAGUUCUUGUCACCCAGGAAGACCGGAUUCUCAGCUAGCACAUAACGGUAAUUAGGCAUUUUCGUGCAAGUAAGACAUAUCGAUUGACACACAGUUGAAAAGAACCCCAUGCUUCAGCAUCUUGUGUACAAUCCCCUGAAAAAUCUUGCCAAUGAAAACAACAGGAAAGAGCAUCUCCCCUGCGUUCUCUCUAACUUUUCCCUCGCCAAAAAUUUUUCAAGUCCACAAUUUUUAUUACUGCUGUACGGCCAAGGCGGAUGUACGGUACAGCAGAAGAUCGAAAUAUGACAGCUCUUCAUUUAGCAGCCGCCAGAGGGCAUAUAGGGAUAGUAAAUGAAAUUAUUUCCUCUUGUCCAUAUCGUCUUCUAGUAAAGGUCGAUGACAGACGCUGGAAUUUUCUUCACUUUGCUAUGGUCAGUUUAGAUAUCUUCCAAUUGAGCCGUCUCCUAAUAAAACAUCCGAUCGUCAGAAGCAGCUGUUUGUUAAGUAAGGACGUAGAUGGAAACACUCCUCUCCACGUGGUUGCUGCUGUCUGUCGACUUUCACCCCGUGUGGCUGUCCUUCCGUUCCUUCUCAAAGUUGUAGGCGGUAAUGAUGCCGUCAACAAUCAUGGUAUUAGUGUUCAAGAUGUAAAAGGUCGUGGAUUUCCUGAGCUCGAGGUAAAUACUUUUUUACUGUUUACUCAUUGCUACCUGCUCCUCACGGCUACUAAUUGUUUAUGCGGGCGCAGCUAUUCCAAGUAAUGUUAAUCAAUUCAUACUUUGUUUUUAUUUUUCUUAAAUGGGAACAACUUUUUCAUCGCAUUGCACUGCAAUAUCGAACAUUUGUGAGUAAAAAUUAACAAUGUUGUUAUGAGUUUAACCCAAAAAAAAAAAAAAGUUUAAAAAGAGCAUGUUGUAUAUGGUCCUAUAUCACUAAUUCCUAGAGUCACACGCAUAAGCACGUCAUAACAUUAAUAUAGAGGAAAAUGCUAUUUGUACAAAUAUUUUAUACAUAUGUUUCUUUUGUUUUGUGCUUCUCACGAACUGCAUAUGGCAUAUCGGAUCAUACAGUUUUUUUUUUUUUUUUUGGUGGGUCACUUAACUCAUUUUAUAUUUACAAAGUCUAAAUUAGUUUAAUGUGACGAAUUGAUUUCAUCGGUCUUGAAUGUGCUACACACGAUAUAAUAUUAUCAUAAAUUAUUAUGUGUGCUAAAUGAUUACUUACAUUAUCAUCUUAAUUGUUUUAUAGUGAAUGGGGUGAGGUAUUCGUGUGUAUGCCACGUUAUUUGUAUCAAAUGUUAGUGAAGCAUACCACACCCCCUCUCCCUCUCUAUAUAUAUACAUACUGUAUUGUAUAUAACUAAAUCUUAUAAAAUAAAGGUAUCUUUUGUCCUGGCCUUGAAAUUGGUCCUCUUUUUUAAAAAAUUGUUUCAUAAAUUUUCUUAGAUCAAUAUUUAAUUUACCUAAUAUGAUCAACAUAUCGCAGCAAGAAAUCCAAGAGUUGUCCAAAAAUGUUGGCCGUGGACAAUAUCCAAAUGGUAUUCUCCGGGUGCAAACAGAAAAAGAGCCAGUCGAUGAAGAAGCAUUAAAAGAAAUGCAAUCGCUACAUACGGUAGUGGCUACACUUAUUGCAACAGUUACCUUCGCUGCAGGGUUCACAUUACCCGGUGGUUACUGGGGUAAAGAAGGCCCAAUUCCCGGCACUCCAAUCCUCAUAAAAAAUGCAGGUUUCCGAGCAUUUAUUGUAUCUGAUGUCAUAGCCAUGGUCCUCUCCGUUUCAGCUAUCUUUAUUUAUUUCCUUACUCCAGCUAAGACCCUUCGGCAAACCAAGUUUCUUUCAGAUAUGCCCCAUAAUUUCAUCAUGGUUUCCUUGUUAGCAAUGGUGGUUGCAUUUAUUACAGGCACAUACGCAGUGUUGGCACCUUCUGCUGGGCUUUCCGUUGCUACUUGUGUCCUUGGCUCGAGCUUCAUUCUCUUUGCCUUUGCCAACACGUUCAUGCUAGCUCGUGGACUCUACCAAAGAAUGUUCGGCAAUAACUAAAAGUAUUUGUAUAUAUACCCCUUUUUCAUGAUAUAAUUAGAAAAAAUAUCUCUAUGUUGGAGAAAUUAGCAUGAUUCUGUGUAGUUGUCCUGGAAUGUUGAGCUAUUACUUACUUGUGUCCUUGGCUCGAGCUAUUUUAUACAUAUGUUGGAAAAAUAAAUCUCUAUACAUUACUUCAACUGGGAUUGUACUCAAUUGUGUUGAGCUAUUAUCAUCAAAAGAGGAUUACGUACAAAUACAAGGUCAACGGGAAAUUGAAAGUAGCAUAUUAGCAUUCCAACAUUUCUAACUAACAAAUUCUACCUACAACAGGGUCAUGUAGAGGUGCUUUUCAAGUGCUGAAGAAAACAUAGAGGUUAGUGCACAGCAGCUUCACAAAGAAAAUCACCCUUUAAACUGACUAAUGCAUGAAAUUCCCUUUCAACCUCUACCCACAACAUCUUUCUCAAUCUUCAAGUUCUUGUCACCCAGGAAGACCGGAUUCUCAGCUAGCACAUAACGGUAAUUAGGCAUUUUUGUGCAAGUAAGACAUAUCGAUUGACACACAGUUGAA